CGUUGGGAGCUCUCCCAUAUGGUCGACCUGCAGGCGGCCGCGAAUUCACUAGUGAUUCGUAUUACCGCGGCUGCUGGCACAGAGUUAGCCGGUGCUUAUUCUGUCGGUAACGUCAAAACAGCAAGGUAUUCGCUUACUGCCCUUCCUCCCAACUUAAAGUGCUUUACAAUCCGAAGACCUUCUUCACUCACGCGGCAUUGCUGGAUCAGGCUUGCGCCCAUUGUCCAAUAUUCCCCACUGCUGCCUCCCGUAGGAGUCUGGGCCGUGUCUCAGUCCCAGUGUGGCUGAUCAUCCUCUCAGACCAGCUAAGGAUCGUCGGCUUGGUAGGCCUUUACCCCACCAACUACCUAAUCCUACGCGGGCUCAUCCCUGGCCGAUAAAUCUUUGGUCCGAAGACAUCAUCCGGUAUUAGCAGUCAUUUCUAACUGUUAUUCCGAAGCCAAGGGCAGAUUCCCACGCGUUACGCACCCGUGCGCCACUAACCCCGAAGGGUUCGUUCGACUUGCAUGUGUUAGGCAUGCCGCCAGCGUUCGUUCUGAGCCAUGAUCAAACUCUAAUCGAAUUCCCGCGGCCGCCAUGGAGGCCGGGAGCAUG
rnacentral:rRNA from 1 species